rnacentral:lncRNA from 1 species
CAAUUCUGGGGUCAGAAGCCAUGGAGUCAGCAUUAUCACCAAGGAUAUUAUUGAAUACCCAAAUAAAACGAACUGAUACAUAUUUCUCCAAAACCUUCACAAGAAGUCGACUGUUUUCUUUAGUAGGCUAACUUUUUAAACAUUCCACAAGAGGAAGUGCCUGCGGGUUCCUUUUUUAGAAGCUUUUCUGUCCAUGUGAAUGUGCUGUGUGGAAGAGUUAAAGGGCCCAACUAAAUGUUCCAGUGAUUCCAAUAGCUAUUUAGCUGGUACCUACUGCUAUAUCACCUAGUGUGACAUUUCGGAAUUAAUGGAACAAUGAAGGAAGCUGUACACUGGAGGUUCCAGGUGGUCAUGGAAGGUUUCCAGUUUAUGCAAACUUCUGUGAAAAUGAGCUUUGUUAUUGGUGAAGACAUUGGAAAUUUUACCAGCCAAAACAGAGUUUCUCUCUUAU